GAGAUCAUGACCUGAGCCAAAGUCGGAUGCUUAACCAUUGACCUACCCAGGUGCCCUACACUAGCCUUUCUAAUUUUUAUACCUUUGAUUUCUUUUUCUUGUCUUAUUGCAUUGACUGGGGCUGCUGGGACAAUACUGAAUAGAAACAUUGAGAGCAGAAAACUUUUUGUCGCUACUAAGUAUGACAUUAGUACAGACUCUGUGUAAAUAUACCUUCAACUUGAAGACAGGUUUGCUGAAUUGUUUUUGUUUUGUUUUGGUAGUUUAUUUUGAGAGAGUGAGCAAGUCAGCAAGGGAUGGGGAGAGAACCAUCACAAGCAGGCUCCACGCUCUAUCUCACAAACUAAGAUCAUGACCUGAGCUGAAAUCAAGAGUUGGAAGCUUAACCGACUGAGCCACCUAGGUGCCCAGGUUUGUGGAGUUUUUAUCAUGAACACAAAUUUUACCAGAUGCCCUUUCUGUAUCUACUUAAAUGAUCUUAUGGUUUUCUGUCUUUAUUCAAUUAUGUGAAUUACACUGAUCCUCCCCCAUCCCCCACUCAGAUACAAAGCUAGUAAUUGCAGAAAUCCUCAAGAACCUCAGCAUCCAAUGUGGGCAGUGACGAGUGCACAGACAUCUGUGGGUUCUCUGCCAGGCUGGGUGGACUAUGGUCAUCCUCUCAGCCAGAGCUGCCUCAAGCAGAAAAAGACCAUCACUGAAUUCUGCAUUAUUUGACUCGUAGCCAGAUCAUUGUACCAGAGAGCAAAUGAGAGAAGGAGAUGCCGCCAGUUUGAGGAGAAAGGUAUGAAUCUACCUAGUUGUCCAAGAGGGCGGGGAACGAAAGACAGUGCAGUGCACACAACACCCCACGCUUCAAUACUGACCGAGUUGCAGGCAUUUGCUCUUUCUAUUUUAGAAAGACCCUUCAAUUCGGUAUCAAAUACAUUCAUCUUCUCUACUAGGCAAGUGAGAGCAGUCUCUGUAGCUUCCCCAACUUUUUCAUACACUCCCUUCGCCUGUAUUGGUUAAAAGCAUAAAGUGAAAAAGCAGUGAAUAAGUUUUUCAUCAAUAAAGACUUCCCAUCAGAGGAGAGCUUGUCUUUCGUUGCACCAUUAUUGUUGGGGCUGUUUUUAUCCUACUCUGGAGCAAAUGAGGCAGACAAAAAUACACUCAAAGCACAUUUUAUCUUAUUCUAAUAACUAUAUUUUUUAUUUCCUUUAACUAUGAGAAGCCAAUAGUCAUAGUAUUAAUUCAAACAACUUUCAAAUAGUAUGUGAAAUUGCAUGUCAUUAUUUAUCAUUCUACAGAGUUCACAUUCAGGUUCUGAUGGAGACUGGCUUGUCUUUUAGAAACCAGUGGGUUAAUCUGUAAGUAAAAAGGGAGGAAAAAAAGGUCUACUGUUUAAAUUUUAUAUUAUUUUAUCUUUAUCAUCAUCAUCAUCAUCAUCAUCAUCAUCAUCAUCAUCAUCAUCAUCACAACAGCCCUCUAAGCCUCAGCUCAUCCUCAAGGAUAUAAUACUACCUAUCUUAAAAAACAAGAUUAAUACCCUCUACUUUCAGGAAAACAUUUCCUCUCCUAGGUUUUCUUCACUUUUGGUAGCCACACUACAAGCCAAAGGAAACAUCGCAUACAUCCUCUUAGUUUAAAAGUGACUGCAACACUCAGAGGAUAUAUGAAAGGUCCUCGGCUUUCUUUGACUAGGUCAUGCUGACUCGGAUAAAAUGGAAAGAGGAAAUAAAAUCAGAAACUGUUACUUUCCAGAGGAAGGAAGGCUGGAUUUUCAUUCCACCCACCCCACCUUUGAGCUAGAAUAGCCAGGUCUACUUUUUCAUUUAUGAGGAGCCUUACCUCAUUGUAAUCCAAUGCAGAAUCAUUACAAAGAGCACAAAUUGUUGCCAAUUCCACAAGACCAUCAUAUUGAUGACAUUUCACUGGUUUAUCAUCUUUAUGCCUAUCAAAAGAAGAAAAACACUUUUAGAGCAUAAUGUGGUCAUCUCUAUUGAUUUUUAUUUAAUUUGUAAUAUAAUUUUGUGGGCAACAGCCUGGCAAGUAUUCAAAAGAAUUUGAGUGAUGGUUCUUAGAAAUCUGAUGCUGGAGACAACAGAAUGUGUCUUUGAUAUUAGGAAUCAACCAGUAAAGACCAGAAGUUCUUAAUUAAUGAAAUUCUUCCACCACAGAUAUCAAUACAGAACAAACCAGCUGAAAAAUUAGGCUCUAAAGCAGAGCUAAAUAAAAAUGAAAAAAGUCACUGACUUAUAACCUGUUUUCUCUUAAAUCUAUACAAGUACCAAACUGCUACAACGGAUCCUUUAAAUGAUAAGCUCAUUUUCUAUGAAGCUGCAUAACUCCAUGUGCACAGUAAGGAGCCUGCAGAACUGACUGAACUGACAUCACCAAGGGAACACAGACAGAAGCAUGCUUAGGUAAGGAUUCUUAAUUUUACAGUGACAUGAGCUAGUUUCUUAAAGAUCAGGUUCCCCCAGCCCCCCUCGGUUUGCUUUUCAAUCAUGAUUUCGAAGCCCGGUUUGGAAGACUCAGAUUUAGACUUGUGUUUUCAUGCAAAUUGAAACUAUAACACCUUCUCAUAAAACACAGAACAAAAACACAAAGUGCUACUUCAACUAUACUUUAUGGUGCCAAAAUGCCUCUGAAAUAUGAACAAUUAAGAACAUGACCAGGGGCGGCCGGGUAGCUCAGUUGGUUGUCUGACUUGAUUUCAGCUCAGGUCAUGACCUUGCCAUUUGUGGGAUCAAGCCCUAUAGUCAGGCUCUGCACUAACAACUUGGAGCCUGCUUGUGAU